rnacentral:rRNA from 1 species
UACGUAGGGUGCGAGCGUUGUCCGGAAUUAUUGGGCGUAAAGAGCUCGUAGGCGGUUUGUUGCGUCGGCCGUGAAAACCUGCAGCUUAACUGUGGGCUGGCGGUCGAUACGGGCAGACUUGAGUUCGGUAGGGGAGACUGGAAUUCCGUGGUGUAGCGGUGAAAUGCGCAGAUAUCAGGAGGAACACCGGUGGCGAAGGCGGGUCUCUGGGCCGAUACUGACGCUGAGGAGCGAAAGCGUGGGGAGCAAACAGGA